rnacentral:tRNA from 1 species
GAGGGUAUAGCUCAAUGGUAGAGUGCAUGUUUAGCAUGAGGGCCUGGGUUCAAUCCCCAGUACUUCCA